rnacentral:rRNA from 1 species
GUCUAGGGCAAUACCACACUGAAAGUGGCUGAUCUCGUCUGAUCUCAGAACCUAAGCAGGGUCAGGCCUGGUUAGUACUUGGAUGAGAGAUUUGGAUGGAGACACAGAACCAAACC